rnacentral:rRNA from 1 species
AAGACCUUGCGCUUUUGGAGCGGCCGAUGCCUGAUUAGCUAGUUGGUGGGGUAAUGGCCUACCAAAGCUUCGAUCAGUAGCUGGUCUGAGAGGACGGCCAGCCACACUGGGACUGAGACACGACCCAGACUCCUACGGGAGGCAGCAGUGGGGAAUUUUGGACAAUGGGCGCAAGCCUGAUCCAGCCAUGCCGCGUGAGUGAAGAAGGCCUUCGGGUUGUAAAGCUCUUUCAGCCGGGAAGAAAAGGUUGCGAUUAAUAAUCGCAAUUUAUGACGGUACCGGAAGAAGAAGCACCGGCUAACUACGUGCCAGCAGCCGCGGUAAUACGUAGGGUGCGAGCGUUAAUCGGAAUUACUGGGCGUAAAGGGUGCGCAGGCGGUUUUGUAAGUCAGAUGUGAAAUCCCCGGGCUUAACCUGGGAACU